UUAGUUUGRUUYCUGCUCAGRGCGAACGCUGGCGGCAGGCUUAACACAUGCAAGUCGAGCGGGCAUAGCAAUAUGUCAGCGGCAGACGGGUGAGUAACGCGUGGGAACGUACCUUUUGGUUCGGAACAACUGAGGGAAACUUCAGCUAAUACCGGAUAAGCCCUUACGGGGAAAGAUUUAUCGCCGAAAGAUCGGCCCGCGUCUGAUUAGCUAGUUGGUGAGGUAAUGGCUCACCAAGGCGACGAUCAGUAGCUGGUCUGAGAGGAUGAUCAGCCACAUUGGGACUGAGACACGGCCCAAACUCCUACGGGAGGCAGCAGUGGGGAAUAUUGGACAAUGGGCGCAAGCCUGAUCCAGCCAUGCCGCGUGRGUGAUGAAGGCCCUAGGGUUGUAAAGCUCUUUUGUGCGGGAAGAUAAUGACGUACCGCAG
rnacentral:rRNA from 1 species